rnacentral:rRNA from 2 species
UGGGGAAUAUUGGACAAUGGGCGCAAGCCUGAUCCAGCCAUGCCGCGUGAGUGAUGAAGGCCCUAGGGUUGUAAAGCUCUUUUGUACGGGAAGAUAAUGACGGUACCGUAAGAAUAAGCCCCGGCUAACUUCGUGCCAGCAGCCGCGGUAAUACGAAGGGGGCUAGCGUUGCUCGGAAUCACUGGGCGUAAAGGGUGCGUAGGCGGGUUUUUAAGUCAGAGGUGAAAUCCUGGAGCUCAACUCCAGAACUGCCUUUGAUACUGAAAGUCUUGAGUAUGGGAGAGGUGAGUGGAACUGCGAGUGUAGAGGUGAAAUUCGUAGAUAUUCGCAAGAACACCAGUGGCGAAGGCGGCUCACUGGCCCAUAACUGACGCUGAGGCACGAAAGCGUGGGGAGCAAACA